CCGAUCUUAGCUCAGUUGGAAGAGCGUGGGACUGUAAUUGGAUGAAAUAGUUCAUGAUGUAGACGUCAUCCCGAGGCCGUGCGUUCGAUCCGCACAGAUCGGA